UACGUAGGGGGCUAGCGUUGUCCGGAUUUAUUGGGCGCAAAGAGCGUGUAGGCGGCCAUGUAGGUCCGGUGUGAAAACUCGAGGCUUAACCUCGAGAUGUCAUCGGAAACCAUUUGGCUAGAGUCCGGAAGAGGAGAGCGGAAUUCCUGGUGUAGCGGUGAAAUGCGCAGAUAUCAGGAAGAACACCAACGGCGAAGGCAGCUCGCUGGGACGGUACUGACGCUGAGACGCGAAAGCUAGGGGAGCGAACAGG
rnacentral:rRNA from 1 species